rnacentral:rRNA from 1 species
UACGGAGGGGCAAGCGUUGUUCGGAAUUACUGGGCGUAAAGGGCGCGCAGGCGGCUGCUCAAGUCAGGCGUGAAAGGCCUGGGCUCAACCCGGGAAUUGCGCUUGAGACUGGGCUGGCUUGAGUGCGGGAGAGGAUGGUGGAAUUCUCGGUGUAGAGGUGAAAUUCGUAGAUAUCAGGAGGAACACCGGUGGCGAAGGCGGAUCUCUGGGCCUUACCUGACGCUGAGGAGCGAAAGCAUGGGGAGCAAACAGG